CAUUAUCAAUUAUAAUAUGUUAAUAUGCCAUGUCAACUCACACAAUAUAAAUGGCAUUUUGACUAAAUCAAUUAUUAGUCAUAAGGGCUUAUUUGACUCAAAAUAAAAGUAUAAAAGAAGUUUUGACUCUUUAUCCUUAUCCUUGGCUGAUCCUUAUCUCUUCAAGAUGGUAUUUUUUCUUCUCCAUCUCCUUCCUCCCACGCCAUUUCUAUACUUCCACCCCAUUGUCACUUGACUCCCAUGCAAUUGAAGAGAAAAAUAGAAAGAAUUAGCUAAGGAAAGAAAGGAGAAAAAGGUGGAAGGCUUAGGUAGUAAGUGAUUCAAGAGUAAUUGAAGAAAUGUCAAGUGAGUCUCAAGAUUCAAGAAAAAUAAGCUAUGGUGACUAUGAGUGUGUGGAAAUUAUGAAUUUUGUUGGGUGAAAUCCAGGCUAAAACCAAGUGGUUUUCUGAGUUAAAGGUGACUGGUCCUAGGAUGAGGUGCUCCUCCUUAUCCAUUGCUCGGUAGGUUUACCAUGACACUAAAUGUUAGCAACCGUGCCUAGAGUCACUCCGCUGACGGUCAAGGUCUAAUUAUGUGUAUAUGAAUGCUUGAUGUGAAAUGCCAAGACUCAUUUGUCAAGCUAUAUAUGUAUAUUAUAGUUGAUGAUGCCAUUAUGAAUACAUAAUUGGGUUAGAUGAAUUGUUUUCAAAGGAAUUGUAUUUGAACAUUACGAAUUUUGGAUUUUAAAGACAUAUGGAUUAAUGU